rnacentral:rRNA from 1 species
ACGGCUUCAGUUACACGUGGACAACCUACCCUUGGGUUCGGCAUAAUCCUGGGAAACUGGGGAUAAUACCGGAUAGGCCACAGAUGCUGGAAUGCACUGUGGCUCAAAGCUCCGGCGCCCAAGGAUGGGUCUGCGGCCUAUCAGGGUUGUAGUGGGUGUAAUGUACCUACUAGCCUACGACGGGUACGGGUUGUGAGAGCAAGAGCCCGGAGAUGGAUUCUGAGACACGAAUCCAGGCCCUACGGGGUGCAGCAGGCGCGAAAACUUUACAAUGCGGGAAACCGUGAUAAGGGAAUCUCGAGUGCCAGCAUAUGAUGUUGGCUGUCCAGAUGCCUAAAAAGCAUCUGUUAGCAAGGGCCGGGCAAGACCGGUGCCAGCCGCCGCGGUAACACCGGCGGCCCGAGUGGUAACCGCUAUUAUUGGGUCUAAAGGGUCUGUAGCCGGCCAGGUAAGUCCCUUGGGAAAUCUGGCAGCUCAACUGUCAGGCUGCUAGGGGAUACUGUUUGGCUUGGGACCGGGAGAGGUGAGAGGUACCUUGGGGGUAGGGGUGAAAUCUUUUGAUCCUCGGGGGACCACCAGUGGCGAAGGCGUCUCACCAGAACGGGUCCGACGGUAAGGGACGAAAGCUAGGGGCACGAACCGGAUUAGAUACCCGGGUAGUCCUAGCCGUAAACGAUGCUCGCUAGGUGUCAGUCACGGUGCGACCGUGAUUGGUGCCGUAGGGAAGCCGUGAAGCGAGCCACCUGGGAAGUAUGGCUGCAAGGCUGAAACUUAAAGGAAUUGGCGGGGGAGCAC